CUGGUGAACGUGGAGGAAACGUCUGAAUAACUGUCUUGACUUCCCUAGAAGCAUGGUUCAAAGAAUUCCAUUCCAAGUCUACAUUGACCACGGAAAAUGGACAACUUGGAACAGGAAAUUUGAAUUCCAGGCUAAUAGAGCGUGCAUAAAUAUGAAGGAAAUGGUGCAAUGAUCAAGAGAGUUAAGAUAAACCCUUUUAAAGUGAAAAGGGAAACCAAUAAAAAGUAGUUAUUUCAAUUUACUACCAAAUUAACCAAUGGAAGCUGCAUUUCAAGCUGGAAUUGCACAAGCUUCCUUGCAAGUUCUCCUUGAGAGGAUUACCGACUUUGCUGUGAAAGAAACAAGCCUGAUUCUGGGAGUUGAUGAUGAGAUCAGAAGGCUGCAGAGAACACUCCAGAGGAUUAGAGCUAUUCUGGAUAUUGUGGGGAACAAUCAGCAAAGCCUGCUGAAGCACAGCAGCACUGAAGCAUGGAAGAUGUGGGCUGCUGAUUUGGAGAAGCAUUCAUACAGUGCUGAGGACCUACUUGAUGAAAUUUCGCUGGAUCUUUUGCAGGUCGGUGCUGAUUAUUUGAAUGAAGCUAAUGAAAGCUAUCAGGUGCGUAACAUGCUUUUGUCAUCUUUUAAAUUGUCAAUGCCCCAUGAGAUUGGAAAGAUAAGGAAAGAACUGGAAGAUAUUGCUACUGAAAUGGAUAGUCUUGUCUUGACUAAAAUGUCUGAACUAGGGUCAUAUAAAUUACCAGCUAAAUCAUGCCUUACGAGCAAUUUUUUUGCCAAAAGCACUAGUUCACUGGUGGAUGAAGGGUUUGUAGUUGGCAGAGAAAAGGACAAAGAUGAGAUCGUCAAGAUGCUGUUGACAGCAAAUGCCAAUAGGAGCAAUGUCUCUGUGAUUCCUUUAGUUGGUAUGGGGGGUAUUGGCAAGACAACCCUUGCACAAAUUGUCUACAAUGACAAUCAAGUAGUAAAGAACUUUGACUUGAGAGUGUGGAUUUCAGUGUCUGUAAAUUUUGAUGUUAUCGGGAUCACCAAGUCAAUUAUUGAAUCCCUGACAGGUAAAAAAUGUAAGUUGUCAGACCUAGAUCCCAUUCAGUGUAAGCUUCAGAGUUUACUCUCCGGAAGGAAGUUUCUUCUAGUGCUAGAUGACUACUGGACUGAGAAGUAUGGGGAUUGGGAUUCUUUGACUUGCCCUUUUAGAGUUGGACUUAGAGGGAGCAAAGUUGUAGUAACCACUAGGAGUUCAGUAGUGGCAUCAAUUCUUGGUACAUUUCCAGCAUAUCAUCUGAAAGUUUUGAAUGAUAAGGACUGCUGGGAAUUGAUGAAACAAAGGGCGUUUGCAAAUAAGGAUCCUGAGGAGAAUAUGAAUAUGGAAGAAAUGGGGAGAAAAAUAGCAAAGAAAUGCAGAGGCUUGCCUUUAGCAGCCCAAAGUCUUGGGGGCAUGCUUCAUUUUCAAUUCGAUGAGGAGGAGUGGGAAUGCAUCUUAAAUAGUGAGCUAUGGGACUUGCCACAAGAGAAAAAUGAUAUCUUUUCAUCAUUACUGAUUAGCUAUCAUUUUCUUCCUUCUCAUUUGAAAAAAUGUUUUGCAUAUUGCUCCAUAUUUCCAAGGAAUCAUGAGUUUGAAAGGGACAAGUUAGUCCUGCUAUGGAUGGCAGAAGGGUUCAUCCAACCUAGAGGAGGAAAGCGACUGGAAGAUGUUGGUAGUGAUUAUUUCAAUGAACUGAUUUGGAGGUCAUUUUUACAAUUUUCACAUGUCAAUCUGUACAACCAAUCAAUGUACAAAAUGCAUGACCUUGUUCACGGUAUGGCGAGGUUAAUUUCUGCUAAUACGUGCUUUUGCUUGGCGGAGGACAUAUCGUAUUGGCAUCCAGCAUUGGCCAAUGCUCGUCAUAUGUCUCUGGGUCAUGCAAAUCUGCAACAGAUAGUGUCAAAGCCCUCCACUUGGUGUAAGAACUUGCGUACAUUGUUGCUAAUGCCCAGAAACAGCAAAAGCACUGUGCAGCUUUCUUAUGAGCUAUUUUUGAAACUACGCUUCCUAAGAGCGUUGGACUUGUGUUGCAUGGACAUCUAUGAGAUUCCUGAUUCAAUUGAAUACUUGAAACAUCUUCGCUUUCUUAACCUCUCCGAGAAUCACAUCCAAAACUUACCUGAAUCCAUCACAAACAUCCUUGGUUUACAAACCCUCGUGCUAAAAAAUUGUUUUGAGUUCCUUGAACUUCCAGCAAACUUGAAGAAGCUUACUAACCUACGACAUCUUGACCUGGAUAUAAAGCAUCAGUUGAACUACAUGCCAUCAGAUCUUGGAAAUUUAGUCAAUCUUCAAACCAUGAAUGCAUUCAUCGUUGGAAAAGGUAAAGGAUGUGGUAUAGGACAGUUGGGUAAUAUGAGAUUCCUCAGGGGAUCAAUUUGCAUUACGAAUCUGGAAAAUGUGCUCAGUGUGAUGGAGGCAAACGAGGCAAAUUUAUGCAUGAAGCCAUUCCUAGAAAGUCUUCAGUUGGAAUGGAAUUAUUCUGGUGAUCGAAUAGAUCAACAAGAAGUACUUGCUGGCCUUCAACCACAUCCAAAUCUCAAGGAGCUAGCAAUAACAAAUUAUGGUGGCUUUAUGUUUCCUAGUUGGCUAGGUGGUCCGCUGCUCAAGCUCAGAACUAUUCACAUCCGAAGCUGCCAAUACUGCUCUGUCCUCCCAUCUCUUGGGCAACUUCCACUCCUCAAGCAUCUUUGUAUUGAAAAUUUGUCAAGUUUAGCAAGUAUUGACGAUCAUUUUUGUGGCUUUGGUCCUACUAAAGGUUUUCGUUCUUUAGAGUUGCUAAUCUUUCAAAACAUGCCAAAUUUGAUGGAAUGGAAAGGAUUAGAUGGACACGAUAUGCCUCUCCUCCGAGAACUCACCUUUAUAAACUGCCCAAGACUAACUAGUCUACCAUCACUCCACAACCUGAGUUUCCUCCAUAACUUGAACAUCAGCCACUGCCCAAAACUUCAAGCAUUACCAGAGCAAGGAUUGCCAGUUUCUCUCCAAAUCCUAAUCAUUUUGGAAAGUGCCAUUAUCAAAGAAAGAUGCAGAGUUGAAGAAGGUGAAGAUUGGUACAAGAUAAAGAGGAUCCCCAAGAUAGAGAUCGAUUAUGUACAGAUUCCCAUGGUAGCAUGACAAGAACUGUUCUUACUAUGAGUCUCGAUGUGCUUGCCAUCACCACCGAGAUCCAGCAACUAAAAGAGUCAGCCAAUUCAUGAAAGAUGUGCAUAAUAUUGUGCUCAUUUUUGCUCACUAAUGAAGCAUCCUCAGUCAGUCGGAACUGAAUUGCAUAAAGGAAAACAUGACAGUAGCUUAACCAUCAUCAUGACUGAAAACAGGGAAACGUCUGGUACAUUAGCUUUCAGAGGCAGCCGCUCUGACAUCAUGAAAUGCUACCUUCAAGCUUUAAAGCCAUUGUCAACCUUGAAGCUAUGUGUAAAGAGCAGCUCGUGUUUCACUGUUAACAGCAGUAUCCAGCUAUGUUAGAACAGACAAAUCAGAGUUCCAAAGAUGCUGCUACUUUUUGUGGGCAUAGUGUGAAUUACCUCCGAAUCUGUUCCAUUAACUCAGAUUCAGUGGGGGACAAGUCUUCCAUUAUACAUCCCUGAAUUAUGCAUGUCAAAGCCACAACUACCUGUGAUCAAAUCAUCAAAUACACCAUUAGGUUAGAGCAGUUUCUUGCUGCAUGUAGCUUUUGCAAUGCAAAGUUUGUAGCAGAUAUUUUGGUUUUGAUGUUUCUGAAACUAUCCAGUUUCAAAAUGUUGUCUAAGCUUGAAAUGAAGGAGUCAUUUUUCAAGUUUUCAAGUUCUCAGAUAUUUCAGUUAAACUUGAUCAGAGAAGUAGUGUCUCAAAUGCAAGUUAUUCCAGGGAUAUUACCCAUGGCGAACUUGCUUACAGAAGGUAAUACUCAAUGCACUCUUUCCAAUCUAAAACCCCCUAGCUCCCGUAGUGUGCCCCCUCUAAUACUUCACAAAGUGUGAUCAACUUUAAUUUCAAAUCUUGAAGAAGUUUGAAC